UACGUAGGUGGCAAGCGUUGUCCGGAAUUACUGGGCGUAAAGGGCGUGUAGGUGGACUGAUCAGUCGGAUGUGAAAUAUCCAGGCUUAACCUGGGGGCUGCAUUCGAUACGGUCAGUCUUGAGUGCAGGAGAGGGCAGUGGAAUUCCCAGUGUAGCGGUGAAAUGCGUAGAUAUUGGGAGGAACACCAGUGGCGAAGGCGGCUGCCUGGACUGUAACUGACACUGAGGCGCGAAAGCGUGGGGAGCAAAC
rnacentral:rRNA from 1 species